GACGAACGCUGGCGGCGUGCUUAACACAUGCAAGUCGAACGGAAAGGCCCUGCUUUUGUGGGGUGCUCGAGUGGCGAACGGGUGAGUAACACGUGAGUAACCUGCCCUUGACUUUGGGAUAACUUCAGGAAACUGGGGCUAAUACCGGAUAGGAGCUCCUGCUGCAUGGUGGGGGUUGGAAAGUUUCGGCGGUUGGGGAUGGACUCGCGGCUUAUCAGCUUGUUGGUGGGGUAGUGGCUUACCAAGGCUUUGACGGGUAGCCGGCCUGAGAGGGUGACCGGCCACAUUGGGACUGAGAUACGGCCCAGACUCCUACGGGAGGCAGCAGUGGGGAAUAUUGCACAGUGGGCGGGAGCCUGAUGCAGCGACGCCGCGUGCGGGAUAACGGCCUUCGGGUUGUAAACCGCUUUCGCCUGUGACGAAGCGUGAGUGACGGUAAUGGGUAAAGAAGCACCGGCUAACUACGUG
rnacentral:rRNA from 1 species